UGAGCCUGUAGCUCAGUCUGGUUAGAGCACUACUCUGAUAAGGUAGGGGUCCUCGGUUCAAAUCCGAGCAGGCUCAU
rnacentral:tRNA from 1 species